GCGAGUGUAGCUCAGUUGGUUAGAGUGCCAGAUUGUGGAUCUGGAAGUCGGCGGUUCGAUCCCGCUCACUCGCCCCA
rnacentral:tRNA from 3 species